UAUCUCUGUAGAGUCUGCAUAUCAAUAAGCGGAGGAAAAGAAACUAACAAGGAUUCCCCUAGUAACGGCGAGUGAAGCGGGAAGAGCUCAAAUUUGAAAUCUUAAAGGGUUUCCCUUUACGAAUUGUAGUUUAAAGAAGUGUUUUCUGUUGAAGUUUCGGUAAAAGUUCUUUGGAAUAGGACAUCAUAGAGGGUGAGAAUCCCGUAUUUGACCGUUAUUUUCAGCUGUGUGAUACACUUUCAAAGAGUCGGAUUGUUUGGGAAUGCAGUCCAAAAUGGGUGGUAAAUUUCAUCUAAAGCUAAAUAUUGGCGAGAGACCGAUAGCGAACAAGUACCGUGAGGGAAAGAUGAAAAGAACUUUGAAAAGAGAGUUAAACAGUACGUGAAAUUGUCAAAAGGGAAGCGUUUGACACCAGUGUUGUUUUCUCGAAAAUCAAUUAAAAAAAGUUGGAUUUUGUAUUGUUAAGACCUUAUCAGCUUACUGUACUCUUUUCUUGCUUUUUUUAAUGCACUUUUCGUUUAACAAGUCAACAUCAAUUUCUUUUGUUGUAAAAGAGUCAUUGGAAGGUGGCUUUCACUUCGGUGAAAGUGUUUAUAGCCUUUGGCUUCUGCAAUCGGAGAGAUUGAGGUCUGCAGCGUAGAUCCUUCGGGGCUAGAUACGUUAGAUGCUAAGUUAUAGCUUUUUCAUAGACAACUUGUUGACUAUAAUUUAAUCAUUGUAGCUUACUCGCUUGACGCUAUUUUACCUACGCUUAGGAUGUUGAUAUGCAUGACUGAUAU
rnacentral:rRNA from 1 species